AUUGAACGCUGGCGGCAUGCUUUACACAUGCAAGUCGAACGGCAGCGCGGGCUUCGGCCUGGCGGCGAGUGGCGAACGGGUGAGUAAUGCAUCGGAACGUACCCAGUCGUGGGGGAUAACACAUCGAAAGAUGUGCUAAUACCGCAUACGUCCUGAGGGAGAAAGCGGGGGACCUUCGGGCCUCGCGCGAUUGGAGCGGCCGAUGUCAGAUUAGCUAGUAGGUGGGGUAAAGGCCCACCUAGGCGACGAUCUGUAGCGGGUCUGAGAGGAUGAUCCGCCACACUGGGACUGAGACACGGCCCAGACUCCUACGGGAGGCAGCAGUGGGGAAUUUUGGACAAUGGGGGCAACCCUGAUCCAGCCAUGCCGCGUGAGUGAAGAAGGCCUUCGGGUUGUAAAGCUCUUUCGGCCGGGAAGAAAUCGCAUCUUUUAAUAGAGGGUGUGGAUGACGGUACCGGACUAAGAAGCACCGGCUAACUACGUG
rnacentral:rRNA from 1 species